AUGGUUAACACCAUGAUAGACACUUCGAGUCUAUCCAAGGAAUGGUGGGGGGAGGCGCUAAUGACUGCGUGUCAUGUCCUAAACCGAGUUCCCACAAAGCAUAAGACCAUAACUCCAUUUGAGGAAUGGGAAAUGAAAAGGUUGAAACUCUCUUACCUACGUACUUGGGGUUGUUUGGCGAAAGUCAAUAUACCAAUUCCCAAGAAGCGCAAGCUUGGACCAAAAACCGUGGAUUGUGUUCUUCUGGGCUAUGCUUUUUAUAGCAUCGGCUAUAGAUUUUUGAUAAUAAAAUCUGAGGUAUCCGACAUGCAUGUUGGUACGAUUAUGGAAUCAAAUGAUGCAACUUUCUUUGAGGACAUAUUUCCUAUGAAGGAUAUGUCGAGUUCAUCAAAUCAGGAGAUACCUACUCCAUCUAGUGAGGAAUUCACUGUAAUUCCUGAACCCACCAUUGCGAUGGAACACGUUGAGAAUCCUGUUGAGGGUAACAAUGGAACUCCUGUGAGGAGUAAGAGAUAG
rnacentral:rRNA from 1 species